AGAGUUUGAUCCUGGCUCAGGACGAACGCUGGCGGCGUGCUUAACACAUGCAAGUUGCACGGUACCCGAUGAAUAGCUUGCUAUGAAGGGCGUCGAGCGGCGGACGGGUGAGUAACGCGUAGGAACCUACCUAGUAGUUUGGGCUAGCCCAGAGAAAUUUGGAUUAAUACCGGAUACGCCCUACGGGGGAAAGUGGAGGAUCUUCUGACUUCACGGUAUUAGAUGUGCCUGCGUGAGAUUAGCUAGUUGGUGAGGUAAUUGCUCACCAAUGCAACGAUCUUUAGCUGGGUUGAGAUGAUGAUCAGCCACACUUUGACUUAGACACGUCCCAGACUCCUACGGGAGGCAGCAGUGGGGAAUAUUGCACAAUGGGCGCAAGCCUGAUGCAGCCAUACCGCGUGUGUGAAGAAGGCUCUAGGGUUGUAAAGCACUUUCAGUAGGGAGGAAAGGUUAUAGUUUAAUAUGCUAUAGCUGUGACGUUACCUACAGAAGAAGGACCGGCUAACUCCGUGCCAGCAGCCGCGGUAAUACGGAGGGUCCGAGCGUUAAUCGGAAUUACUGGGCGUAAAGCGCGCGUAGGCGGCCUGAUAAGUUGGAUGUGAAAGCCCUGGGCUCAACCUAGGAACUGCAUUUCGAACUGGCAAACUAGAGUUCUUGAGAGGGAGGUAGAAUUUCAGGUGUAGCGGAGAAAUGCGUAGAGAUGGAAAGGAACAUCAGUGGCGAAGGCGACUUACUGGACCAAUACUGACACUGAGGUACGAAAGCGUGGGCAGCAAACAGGAUUAGAUACCCUGGUAGUCCACGCCGUAAACGAUGUCUACUAGCCGUUUGUGGACUUGAUCCGUGAGCUCUUAAGCUAACGCAUUAAGUAGACCGCCUGGUGAGUACGGCCGCAAGGUUAAAACUCAAAUGAAUUGACGGGGGCCCGCACAAGCGGUGGAGCAUGUGGUUUAAUUCGAUGCAACGCGAAGAACCUUACCAUCCCUUGACAUCCACAGAAAUUUCCAGAGAUGGAUUUGUGCCUUCGGGAACUGUGAGACAGGUGCUGCAUGGCUGUCGUCAGCUCGUGUUGUGAAAUGUUGGGUUAAGUCCCGCAACGAGCGCAACCCCUAUCCUUAUUUGCCAGCGCGUCAUGGCGGGAACUUUAAGGAGACUGCCGGUGAUAAACCGGAGGAAGGUUGGGACGACGUCAAGUCAUCAUGGCCCUUACGGGAUGGGCUACACACGUGCUACAAUGGCAAGUACAGAGGGCAGCGAGACCGCGAGGUGGAGCGAAUCCCAGAAAGCUUGUCGUAGUCCGGAUCGGAGUCUGCAACUCGACUCCGUGAAGUCGGAAUCGCUAGUAAUCGUGGAUCAGAAUGCCGCGGUGAAUACGUUCCCGGGCCUUGUACACACCGCCCGU
rnacentral:rRNA from 1 species